AUUAAAAAAAUAUACAAUGAAUACGACAGACAAAUUUAAUACUUCUAUCUUGUGCAAUAAGCAAAUAAGUCCAUUUAUUUUUAAAUUACACUACUUAUUAUUAGUUAUUACUGUCAUACUAUAUCAUUUAUUGUGCUUUUGCGUAACCUUAAAUAUUUCCAUUUCAGCAUUUAUUCCACCCGACUUUGCAUGCAAUUACAGACGCAAAAGGAGUAUAGCGUAUAGGAGAGGAGCGUUGCGCAAACAGUUGUCAAUGAAGUAAAUCAGGAAAAUGGGCUACAAACAAGCUACGAAAUAUUUUCAAUUAAUAAAUACCAACCUUUCCACUUCCCGAAGGUCCACAAAGAACUAAAAUUGGGAUUUUACUCGCAGCAAGAACUCCACUUCCCAACGUUGACAUCUUCAGUAAUUGUUUCAAUAUGUCAAACUUUGACAGUCAAAGUACAAUAUUUCAUGGAUUUUGGAAAGGAAAAUCUGAGUUGGCUACCGCCACUCCUGGAGUUUGAGAAAUGGGCAAACCAAUUCAAUAGAACGGUUUUCUCGACGUCAGACGAAUGCGAAAUAAUUUCCAUGCGAUAUGAAACCACCCAACUCUCGAGUUUGGUCACAAUACAAUUAGUGAUAAUUGGAUAGGGGAUUAUUUUCGGAAUCAAAUUACAAGUUCUAUCAAGGGCAAUUUAGUUAUAUCCAAUCACGCAUGUACGUCAAUUGUCUUGCAAUUAGAAAUAGGCUAUGGCAUUAUUCAUAAUCCAUCAGUCAAAUCCGACUGCAGACUUUAUUUUUGUGAGCCGUAAUUGGAUGUGCUCCGAACGAACAUAAAAGUAACAAACGGUUCUGAAAGCCAAUAAAAUCAAUUAUUUAAUAUAUACUAAA